rfam:Citrus sinensis cultivar Ridge Pineapple sweet orange scaffold08332_contig_1, whole genome shotgun sequence.
AAAAAGGGUUAGUUGGAUAAGUAUGCCAUACUUGCUGGCGUUUGGUGAGUGUCGUAUGGCAAUCAAGACAUAUGGCUAACAUAAUUUAUAGUACCUUAUACGAUUGGCUCGCUUGAAAAAAAAUGUUGAAAUUGUAUUU